GCCACUGCUAUUGGGGUUCGGCUAAGCCAUGCGAGUGGAGGGCGUCCCGCAAGGGAUGGCCCCGCAGACGGCUCAGUAACACGUCGUCAACCCACCUUAGGGUGGGGGACAACCUCGGGAAACUGAGGAUAAUCCCCCAUAGGCGGGGGAGGCUGGAAUGCGCCCCCGCUGAAAGCUCAGGCGCCCUAGGACGGGGCGGCGGCCUAUCAGGUAGUUGGUGGUGUGACG
rnacentral:rRNA from 1 species